rnacentral:rRNA from 1 species
GAGAAGGAGCUUGCUUCUUCGAUCGAGUGGCGAACGGGUGAGUAACGCGUGAGGAACCUGCCUCAAAGAGGGGGACAACAGUUGGAAACGACUGCUAAUACCGCAUAAGCCCACGGGUCGGCAUCGACCUGAGGGAAAAGGAGCAAUCCGCUUUGAGAUGGCCUCGCGUCCGAUUAGCUAGUUGGUGAGGUAACGGCCCACCAAGGCGACGAUCGGUAGCCGGACUGAGAGGUUGAACGGCCACAUUGGGACUGAGACACGGCCCAGACUCCUACGGGAGGCAGCAGUGGGGAAUAUUGCACAAUGGGGGAAACCCUGAUGCAGCGACGCCGCGUGGAGGAAGAAGGUCUUCGGAUUGUAAACUCCUGUUGUUGAGGAAGAUAGUGACGGUACUCAACAAGGAAGUGACGGCUAACUACGUGCCAGCAGCCGCGGUAAAACGUAGGUCACAAGCGUUGUCCGGAAUUACUGGGUGUAAAGGGAGCGCAGGCGGGAAGACAAGUUGGAAGUGAAAUCUAUGGGCUCAACCCAUAAACUGCUUUCAAAACUGUUUUUCUUGAGUAGUGCAGAGGUAGGCGGAAUUCCCGGUGUAGCGGUGGAAUGCGUAGAUAUCGGGAGGAACACCAGUGGCGAAGGC